GCAUUUAUUAGAUAAAAAACCAAUACAUACUUUUUCAAGUAUGAAAUUUGGUGAUUUACAAUAACUUAGCAAAUCGCAUAGUGAAAACAGGCGAUAAAUCAUUCAAGUUUCUGACCUAUCAGCUUUCGACGGUAUGGUAUUGGCUUACCGUGGCAGUGACGGUUAACGGGGGAUUAGGGUUCGAUUCCGGAGAGGGAGCCUGAGAAACGGCUACCACAUCUAAGGAAGGCAGCAGGCGCGCAAAUUACCCAAUUCUAACAGCAUAAGAGAGGUAGUGACAAGAAAUAACAAUACAAGGCAGUUAAAAUGCUUUGUAAUUGGAAUGAUAGAAAUUUAAACACUUUUUAAAGUAUCAAUUGGAGGGCAAGUCUGGUGCCAGCAGCCGCGGUAAUUCCAGCUCCAAUAGCGUAUAUUAAAAUUGUUGCAGUUAAAAAGCUCGUAGUUGAAUUUCUGUUAAAAAUAACCGGUCUGCUUUUA
rnacentral:rRNA from 1 species